CAGAGAAAAUAUUUUACAUAAUUACACAUUUAAAAAAUACUUUUUAAACAAAAUUUUUAAAAAAGUUUUAUUGUAUUACAUUUUUUUCCCUUUGAUUUAAUUGCUUUUUGUUUUGUAGUUUAUUUCUUUAAUCUUUUUCUGUCAAGAUUUUAACCCCAACCUUAAAAAUAAAAUAAACCCUUAAAUCACAAUGAAAAUUUUCUGUUGUCACAAUCAUGAGUUAGUCAAUUAUUCAGUUUAUCAAUUCAACUUUAUUUGUUUAGCACCUUUCACACAGAUGACAAAACUAAACAAGCAAAGAGAAAAAACUAUGCUAAAACUAUGAUUAAAACUCAAAAACAUAUUAAAAAAAAAAAAAAGAUUUAACAUGGUAAUAAAAUAUGUUGUGUCCAGGGGAUGGAGGGAGUUUAUUGAAGUCUUCUUGGGCUCACAUGGUAAAUCAUUUAAAAUAUAAACUUGAUAUUCAGUCUAAGGAAACUGCAGAGUGACAGAAGAACCAACAAUAUCUCCUGUUUUCUCCUUUAAUGAGUCGACUCUUCUUGUGCUUUCAGACCAAAGAACUACAGACUCUUCACAACCUGCUCAAACUCUUGGUACAGGACCUCACCACACGGAUCAAGAAGGUUGCUUUGUAGAACUGUUCCAGAAAACCUCACUAAACCACAUGGAGGGGCCUCAAGAUAGUCGUCCAAAUGAAACCAUACAAAAACCAAACUAGCACAACCCAAACGCUGAAGUCUCCUGCAGCCUACCAGAGAAGCUCUGAGAACAGAGAAUCAGGACAGGAACUCUUACCUUCUGGACAACCAACGCUGGUUCUCAAACAAGAAUACAGAAUGUGUCUGACCAGAAACCUCUAAAGACUCACUACAGCCAAGAUAAAGACACAACUCAGCUGCACCAAAUCCACUAAUCACUGCACACAUUAGAACCAUGUGCUAACUGUGGCUAAAGAACCACAUUUACCAAGACAACUAUCCAGUACAAAGCCCUAAAACACACCAAGAAACACAUUAAAGAUGAUUUUACUGCUGGAAGCUGCAAGCCAACGCCUAAAGAACAAACUGAAGCAACGGAGCCAAACCCAGUUCACUGGUGAAGAAAAACAGAGGAAAUGUUUGUCUGCAGCUAAAUAAAGCAGGAAGACACUGAGCUGCUCAGGUGUUCCUGAUAACACCAAGCAGCCACCUGGACAGCCAAUAGGAACACAGCUUCCUGGAAGUCCAGAGGGCUGGCUUAGUCAAGGAAAUUUAGUUUAAAGUUGAAGCAGAAAGUUAACAAAGAAAGUUGAAAACCACCUUCUGAUCCCUGAAAUCUCUGAGUUUUCACACAAAGAACGCCUGAACAUGUCAAACUGGUUCCAUAGUAGAACCAUCAUUGUAAAAACGUCAUAGUAUGGUGUGUUGCUCAAAAAACAUUAGGACCUGGCUGUCUAGGGUCGCUGAUGAGCAACACAAAAACAGGACAAAUGCUGGCUUCCAGGGGGUUAGGAGGAUAUUUAUUUGAAAGAGGAAGUUUACAACAACACAACAUGUGAGCAGAAAAAUCACAAAGUCUGUCUUUAGUUCAGCUGAAAAUAUUAGUUUUUGUCGUUUUUUUUAUUGACCAAACUUUUCAGGAAGUAGAUGAAGAAUAAUUAAAGCUCUCAUGUAGAAAUCCAACUUAUUUUGGAUCCUUGUGGAGAGUUUAAUCAGGGUUCCCACUCUUUCCCUGAAAUUAUUUUCCAGGACAUUUCCAGGACAUUUCCAGCCCAUACAGACACGUUGUCACGUCAUACACUAAUACAUUCCCGUCCGCCUCAUUCUUUGGAAGUGUUCUUUACUACAGCUGUAACUUGCAUUUACCCAGAUUGCUUCUAUAUUUAUUACUCAGACAUUUGAUGUGCAGUCUAUGGCUAUAAUUUAUCUAUGAAAAAUAAUUAUAACAAAUGUAUCACAGAAUAAUGCAAACACACCCACAGAUUACAGCGUAGCACUUCACUAGCAUAACAAACUGGAGUUACAGUGUUCAACUGGACAAUUCCCAACUCAACUUUCUCUUCACUCUUACUUUCUCUGGUCCAAUUCAUUUAAAAAUAUUUGUACAGAGUCGUGCAGGAGUCUUUAGAGCUAACAAACCCAUGUUGCCAACAUCUAACGACUUUCUGCUAAACUUGCAGUAUGCCCUUUGUAUAUCUCCUGACACCUCUCCCAGCCAAUCCCUGAACUGGGGGUCUUCCAUCCACUCACUUUUGAAUAUGGACUGUCUUCCUGACAUUUCUUCUCUCCAUCUGUGCACAUAGUCAUACAACAGAAUUCCUAAUGUUGUUUUCAUUCACUUAUUUCUGUCAGACAAUAAAACAGGUGUGAACUACUGAGUGAAACGUGGUCCAUUCAGAUUACCUGUUAAACUCCCGCUGUGCUGAAAUCAGAGAUGUUGGAUCUCGCAGCUCACAGCCAAUCAGGAAGCGACACGCCCACUAGAACUCUCCUCUGCUGUCACUCCACGGAGGACAGAGAGGAUCCUGUGGCCACCCACGGGACAGAAAACCCUCACACUUGUGGACCAGCACUAGCCACACUUUUCAGCUUACAGUCCCUAGUUUUAUCUCUAGGCGAUCAGUCCUUAACGGGGUCUGAAAAGUCGUUAAACGUAGCAUCAGAUAAACCUUUUAGGUCUACAUUGGAAGAUUUUAGAGUAGAAUAUUACUCCAAACCAUCCUUUAGGUCUACAUUUAAGGUGGAAUACUCCUUUACACCAAUACUUUUUGGUCUACAUUGAAGGAUUUUAGAUGGAAUAUUCCUUUGAAUGAACUUUUUAAGUUUAUGUUCAAGGAUGUUGGGUGGAAUAUACCAUCAGACCAACCUCCAAGGUCUACAGUAGUGAAUUUUAGGUGGAAUAUACCAUUAAACUCACCUUUUAGGUCUACAUUGGAGGAUUUUAGGUGGAAUUUUCUUCCAAACCGUCUUUCAGUCUACAUUUAAGGAUGUUUAGGAUGGUAUAUUCUUCCAAACCAGCUUCUCAGGUCUACAUUUCAGGUGGAAUAUUCCUCCAUACUAACCUUUUUGGUCUACAUUGAAGGAUUUUUUCUAAACCACCCUUUCAGGUCUAUAUUUGAGGUUUUAGGUGGAAUAUUCCUUUUAACCAGCCCCUCAGGUCUCUGAGGAUUUUGGAUGGAAUACUCGGUUAAAGCAACAUUUUAGGUGCAUGUCUAAGGAUUUUUCGUGGAAUGUUUUCUUUAAGGUGGAUGUAUGAGGACCUUGUAGGUGGAAUACUUCCUGAAACCAACCUUUUAGGUCAACAUUCAAAGAUUUAAGGUGGAAUAUUCCUUUAAACCAACCUAAAUUUCAUGUUUUGAUCAUUAUCAAGUGAGAAACCUCAAUCCAGACUCCUCAUAAUGACAUUUGAGAUUUAUGCUGCUGUUAUUUGUUUAGUCCAGACGAAAUGACAGAAAUCCACAACUGUCAUUUUAUUUCAGGACUCGGUUAUUAAAUGUCAAAACAAUCCAUGUGACUCUAAAAACUCAAUAGCUUUACAAACUCUAAGAUUAAAUUCUCCACAAGGAUCCAAAAUAAGUUGGACUUCUACAUGAGAGCUUUAAUUAUUCUUCAUCUACUUCCUGAAAAGUUUGGUCAAUAAAAAAGACAAAAACUAAUAUUUUCAGCUGAACUAAAGACAGACUUUGUGAUUUUUCUGCUCACAUGUUGUGUUGUUGUAAACUUCCUCUUUCAAAUAAAUAUCCUCCUAACCCCCUGGAAA